AGCAGUAGCCGCGGGAAUACGGAGGGAGCUAGCGUUGUUCGGAAUUACUGGGCGUAAAGCGCGCGUAGGCGGUUACUCAAGUCAGAGGUGAAAGCCCGGGGCUCAACCCCGGAACUGCCUUUGAAACUAGGUGACUAGAAUCUUGGAGAGGUCAGUGGAAUUCCGAGUGUAGAGGUGAAAUUCGUAGAUAUUCGGAAGAACACCAGUGGCGAAGGCGACUGACUGGACAAGUAUUGACGCUGAGGUGCGAAAGCGUGGGGAGCAAACAGGAUUAGAUACCCCAGUAGUCCCUGUCUCUUAUAA
rnacentral:rRNA from 1 species